CCUACGGGUGGCAGCAGUGGGGGAUAUUGCACAAUGGGGGGAACCCUGAUGCAGCGACGCCGCGUGGGUGAAGAAGCGCCUCGGCGCGUAAAGCCCUGUCAGCAGGGAAGAAAAUGACGGUACCUGAAGAAGAAGCACCGGCUAACUACGUGCCAGCAGCCGCGGUAAUACGGAGGGGGCAAGCGUUAUCCGGAUUUACUGGGUGUAAAGGGGGCGCAGACGGCGAUGCAAGCCAGGAGUGAAAGCCCGGGGCUCAACCCCGGGACUGCUCUGGGAACUGCGUGGCUGGAGUGCAGGAGGGGCAGGCGGAAUGCCUGGUGUAGCGGUGAAAUGCGUAGAUAUCAGGAGGAACACCGGUGGCGAAGGCGGCCUGCUGGACUGCAACUGACGUUGAGGCCCGAAAGCGUGGGGAGCAAACAGGAUUAGAUACCCCAGUAGUC
rnacentral:rRNA from 1 species